AAGAUGCGAAGAGAGCUCUUCAGCAACGAGAGCCUGGAAGAGGGCCAGCGUAUUGGUACUAAAUCGGUGCUGGCCCCAACACAGCUCGCUGGGCCAGACGUGGAUGGCAAAUGGCUGACAGCCGGAUAAACAAGCAGCUCCCUUUUUGGUGAGCUUCAGAGGAUGCAGGUGGACAGAAUCAAGGCUUCAGGAAAUAUGUUGAGCACGUAAUAUGUGCUAAGUAUAACGUUAAAUGCUAGAGGUUCAAAGGAAGAUAGGACAGAGUCCAGAAGUCCAAGGCCAUACAUUCUCCUCAUCAGCAUUCACUGGAGGGGGCCUGUAACCUUUCAGAUGAGGAAGCACUACUUUAUAUUUUUCUCAUGCUU